rnacentral:rRNA from 1 species
CGCGGUGAAUACGUUCCCGGACCUUGUACACACCGCCCGUCAAGCCAUGGGAAUCGGGGGGACCUGAAGCGGGGAGUAACAUCCCUUCAAGGGUAAAUCUGGUGACUAGGGCU